CAAUAGCGUAUAUUUAAGUUGUUGCAGUUAAAACGCUCGUAGUGUGACUUCGGUCUAGCUCCGUAGGUCUGCCAGUCCGUCUGGUGUGCACUUGCGGGGUUUGGCUAACAGUCGAGAGCGCAUUGCACUUGAUUGUGUGAUGUCGGCCUCGGUGCAGAUACUUUGAGUAAAGGUUCGUGUUCUAAGCAAGCGGUUCGCUUGAUACUUGCAGCAUGGGAUAUCGAGACAGGACUUGGAUCCUAUCUUGUUGGUUCUCGGGAUCCGAGUAAUGGUUAACAGGAAUAGUUGGGGGCACUCGAAUUUGGCAGCUAGAGGUGAGAUUCUUGGAUUUGCCAACGACGAACCACUGCGAAAGCAUUUGCCAAGGAUGUUUNCAUUAA
rnacentral:rRNA from 1 species